rnacentral:rRNA from 1 species
UGGGGGAGUAUUGCACAAUGGGGGGAACCCGUGAUGCAGCGACGCCGCGUGGGUGAAGAAGCGCCUCGGCGCGUAAAGCCCUGUCAGCAGGGAAGAAAAAUGACGGUACCUGAAGAAGAAGCCCCGGCUAACUACGUGCC